AAACCACUGGAUGGUGGUAAAAUAAGUAUACACUAUCUGUAGCACAAUAUCUGAAACAUGGUUAUGGUCCUUCAAUGGGAAUAAAUGUAAGUCCUUCUUUUUCUUCUUUUCACCUGUUUUGUUCCCACAGUCUAAGAGAGAAAGAAACCAGCAAUGAGGUGUGAAACUUUGUUGAUUUUAAUGUUCACAGUUGUAAAAUGCAUUGUAUAGUAAAGGGUGCAGUAACUGCCUCAUGUGAAAAAGCUAUUCCUUUUUUUUAGUGUAAUUAAAUGACCUUAAUGUAAAGCUAUAGUGAUUAUUUGUACACUACGUUUGGAGCACCACAAUGUGAAGCUCUGCCCUUCAGCACUCUCCAUGACGCUCAGCUUCAAUAGUUUUCCCUGCCUUCAUACAUGUUAACACAUUAACUAACUGCAAACAACUGAUCAUGGCAAACUUGCCAGUGUCUCCAGAUUUCCAUGCUGAGAAAGAUCAAGAGAGUGGUAAGUGGUGUUCGAAUGUGUUGGGAAUGGUGAUAGCGCGCGGGGGGUGGAAUCUAAGAAUCGAAGCAUCAAAGCAACAGUUGUGAUGUGGGCCAGUUCUAAAUGACUGACUACUUUACUGCCAUCAAGCUUAUAAAUAUAUCUUAGAAGUGAUCCAGAGAAGUUAACAGUCUUCAACCACUGUGACACAGCUGAGUAACUGCUUCCUUUCUGUUUCAGGAGUCAGAAAGCUGAGAUGAAUUUAUAACGUUAAGAAUGGUUUAGUUAUUUGCAGGAAAUCAGAGCUCAUGUCAUAUUAACUAACUGCAAACAACUAAUCAUGUCAAAUGUGCCAGUGUCUCCAGAUUUCCAUGCAGAGAAAGAUCAAGAGCCUCAGCCUUGACAAACACAACACUGCGUAGACCUUGUGCUUUCAGGUGGCCACGACAUUUAAUGCGCUGAAGGAGAACCAGGUGAUGGGCCAAACCAGCAACAUAAUGAUGGUGAAUCAACGACAGCGACCCUUUGAAGACAGCAAUACCAUCCAACCAGACAACGACACUCCAUCUCCUGAAAUUCUGCCAUCAAGCAUGAUCUUGGUUUGGCCCAUGACCGCCGAGAACACACAAUGCUGGAAGAUCAGGAGAUUCCAAAAACAUGGGGGUGAAGGAGAAACAUCAGAAGAAGAAGAAUGGCUUCCGGCGCAUCUUCCCCUGGAUGUGGAAGAUCCUCAGGUCAUGAGUUACCACUAAUGAUGAGGAUUAGGGAUGUUUGGGAUAUUUCUAUCUAUUUCUAUCUCUCUAUCAUUCUCCCUGUGUUUUGUGGGGGGUUUUACUCCGGGUGCUCCGGUUUCCUCCCUGACCUGCAGCUGACCUCCAUACUCUAACACCACUGCAUUAAUUCUGUUGUGUCAUUCUACCUCAUAUAAAGUAGGCACCGUACAAAUUAGCUUUAUUUAAUUCCUAUUCAUUUUAUAUUCAUCCAUUUAGUUCCUGCAUUUAAUUACCAACAAGGUUUAACUGUAACAUUCAGUGAUGAUAAAAAUAACCACAACAUUUACAUUUAGGGCAUUUAGCAGACGCUUUUGUCCAAAGCGACUUAUUUCAUAUAUACAUUCAUACCCUGAUGGUGGUGGCCGGCACCUUGCAUGGCAGCCCAUCAGGAACAGUUUGGGAUUCAGUAUCUUGCCAGCAUCCUUCCAUCCUUAACAAAGAUGCUAGCUCUACCCCUGAGCCACAGCCAAUCCCAACAACAAUUAAGAUAAUGAUUACAUAGCAGAGACCACAAAUCAUUUUCUGGUGUGUGGACAUGGCAGAUUAGAAGGCUCUUCUCCAGCAGCUGUUAGAAGCUUCUCCAAAAAGUAGAUUAGU